UUUUAACAAAUACUUUUCAUAAGUAAUUAGUUAAGCUUAAAUUUUUUAAAAAUCUAAUUCACCCCCCCUCUUGGGUUGCAUAGCUGGGCAACAAGUGGUAUCAGAGCCCGAUGCUCUAGCCCUUCUUUGAUCUAACAAUCAAAGAGCCAAAGAUCUAUGGCAACCCAUGUCGGUACUUCUCUAGCCGUGGGGCAAUCUACCAACCGACCUCCACUUUUCAAUGGGUCUAAUUACACCUAUUGGAAAGCUCGGAUGAAGAUAUUCAUACAA
rnacentral:lncRNA from 1 species